AACGAACGCUGGCGGCAGGCCUAACACAUGCAAGUCGAACGCUCGUAGCAAUACGAGAGUGGCAGACGGGUGAGUAACACGUGGGAACCUUCCCUAUGGUUCGGAAUAGCUCAGGGAAACUUGAGGUAAUACCGGAUAAGCCCUUCGGGGAAAGGAUUAUCGCCAUUGGAUGGGCCCGCGUCGGAUUAGCUAGUUGGUGAGGUAACGGCUCACCAAGGCAACGAUCCGUAGCUGGCUGAGAGGAUGAUCAGCCACACUGGGACUGAGACACGGCCCAGACUCCUACGGGAGGCAGCAGUGGGGAAUAUUGGACAAUGGGCGCAAGCCUGAUCCAGCCAUGCCGCGUGAGUGACGAAGGUCUUCGGAUU
rnacentral:rRNA from 1 species